ensembl:piRNA 21ur-1924 ncRNA
UACUUUGGCAAACCUAAUACA